AGGGUGAAAUCCCGAAAAACUCCCGUGACAGUGAAUGGAAAUAAUUUCCAUUCUCACAAAACAAAACUCUCUUCUUUAACUAUUUGCGUACUCUGCCUUCCAAAACCUCUUAUUAAUGCUUUCAAUGUGACUUACAACCGUUACUCUUCAUUCAUAUCAUCCUUCUUAACUUCUUCUUCUUCUUCCUCCUCCUCUAACCCUAGCUCUUCUCUUUCCCUAACUACCUAACAAUAAUACUAGUAAUAAGAGUUCUUGAAAUUUUCCCUUCUCUUUCAUUUCUUGAACUUAAAAUAUCUUCCAUAAGGUCUUAAAAACCAAAGAUGGUGAUGAUGGGAUUGGAGAGGUUGAUGGGGAACUUGAAGUCAAAAAUAAGGUCAUUGAAGAUGAAGAAGCCAUAUGAUAAAAUUGAAAAGAGUGAAAGUAUGAGAGUUGAAAUAAGAAGCAGGAAAGCUAAGAAGCUCAUUGAAGAAACCUUGAAAAUUGCAGAUUCUCCAAAGAGCAGAACUUAUGCUUUUUGAUUAUGUUUGAGUUUAUUUACUUAGAGUAACAGGGGGAAUUUCUAAUGUUCCUCUGCUUUUAAUGUUAUAUAAACUGUGUUUAGUUAUAGAAAAUAUAUAAUAGAAUGUUAUCUCUACUUCUCUUUCAGCCA